rnacentral:rRNA from 1 species
GAUCAUGGCUCAGGAUAAACGCUGGCGGCGCACAUAAGACAUGCAAGUCGAACGGAAGUCGUUGUAAUGAAUUUGAAGUGGACAGAGAACUUGUUCAAAGAAAGCAGAUGAUGAUUUACAACAAUGGCUUUAGUGGCGGACUGGUGAGUAACGCGUAAGCAAUCUGCCUAUUAGAGGGGAAUAACAAUGAGAAAUCAUUGCUAAUACUGCAUAUGCCAUAAGAA